rnacentral:piRNA from 1 species
UAGGAGGUUUUUUUUUAAUCGAGUUUCCCCU